rnacentral:lncRNA from 1 species
CUCAAAGUGAAGAGUUUCCUGGCCAAUGCACCAAGUGUUGUACCCACACGUUCUGGGAAACAAACUCACUCAGAAGGACAAUGCAGAUAGUGGAGUGCAGUUUAUUACACCGGCAGGCCCAAGGCAGAGUCUCCUCUUAGCCAAGGACCCCGACCAGCACUUGUGAAAAUCUUUUAUACCCCAUGUGUACGUGUCUGAACCCACCACCCCAGAUUCCUUGAGACUUACAUAAACCAAGGAAAAUACAAUCCCAAUAAUCCCACCAUUCACGUGCUAUGUGCUCAUGUGCUCAAACAGUCAAACAAUUAGCCAAUAAUCAAUAAACCCGAGGUUACACUCAGAUGGAUACAGAAAAAUUUAUGGCCUGUCUGGAGGAAGGGGUGAUCAGUGUAUGUUUUCUCUUAGGUGAUGAGUAACCCAGAUACGAUCUUCAAGGCCUGGAGGGGGUCUUAUCCUUCUGUUGUUGUUUUCACAGGCACUAAACACAGAGUUCAGAGUCCAUUGGAAAGGUGGCUGAGCAUGAUCAGCAUGAAUAGGCCUAAGAUGGAGUCCAGGCCCUAUGAAUUCCUUCUUCAUUCCCCCCUCUUGAUGCUCUUAACUCAUAUUAUGAGCAUCAUUCAUAGGGAUAUAUUGCACCCUGGCUCUCCGACCGCCAAUUUGGGAGAAUGACAUCAACCUUCGGGUUACAAAGUUCAUUAUACAUUGUAAAAUUCAGGGUCCACAAAGCAAAACUAUCAAGGCAACUGUAACAGUGGUAAAUAUAGUUUUCCACCCAUUGCCCUUCACCCAAGAUAGGACCGAAGUCCAGAAAGGAAUGUUUUCAUUUGACAUUGCUUUUACCUGGUUUUUCAUGUCAUCUAAAGCAGUCGAUACGUUGCCAGAUAAGUCAGGAAUGUAUACACCACAUUCAACCUUAAUUAUAGCACUGGUCUCUCCUUGAGCAGCUGUGAGUAUGUCCAAAGCCAUUCUAUUAUGAAUUACCGCUUUUCUCAUUUGGAUUUGCUCUUCAUUUAAGGCUUGGAUGGCUUUUGUUCUAUCUAGGAGGGCCCGUUUUGUGAAAUUAGUCAAGGCCUCUACUUUAAUCAUGAUAUCUGUUGUCCCUAUAGAGGGUACGAAUAAGGCAGCAAUAUACGCAUACCAUUGAAACACGGAUCUUGUCCACCUAGCAUGUAAAUAAGGUAGAUUUACUGGGGCUUGUUGUAGGUUAGGCUUUUGUUACACUGGCAUUUAUAUCAAAUGUAACCCCAUGAGCCGAGUCUAUUGACUGUAGGUCUUACACCAAGAGAGCAAGGAGAGGUUAUGAUUGACAAGAGAGAGGAAAGUCUCUUUUCGUCAUCCCAGAAAAGAGCAGAGUGGUUUAAAAUCUUCUUGGCAGAGUGGUGACACCCACCAAGGAAGUCCAUCC